rnacentral:rRNA from 1 species
AAACUAGGAUUAGAUACCCUAUUAUUUUAGAGGUAAACAUUGUUAGUAAAUAAAAAUUACGAAAGCAAAAAAUUAUGGCGGUAUUUUAAGCUUUUCAGAGGAAUUUGCUCUUUAAUGGAUAAAACACCUAAAUCUUACUUAAAUUUGUAAAUUCAAUUUGUAUACCACUAUAAAAACAAUUAAUAACUUCAAUUGUUAAAAUUUAUUAAAUUAACUUAUAUUAAGUCAAGGUGCAGUAAAAAUUUAAGAAUGAAGUGAAUUACAUUUCUUUUUAGAGAGAGAAAUUUAAAUAACAUUUAGGAUUUGAAAGUAAAAUUGAAAUAGAAUGUCAAUUUGAAUUAAGCUCUAAAAUAUGUACAUAUCGCCCGUCACUCUUUAUUAAGAUAAGUCGUUACAUAG